UGGAAGGAGCUGGUGGACGGCGCCCCGCUGUGGCUGCUCAAGUGCCAGCAGGAGGGGCUGGUGCCCGAGGGCGGCGUGGAGGAGGAGCGCGACCACUGGCAGCAGUUCUACUUCCUGAGCAAGCGGCGCCGCAACCUUCUGCGUAACCCGUGUGGGGAAGGUGAGAGGCCCUCGCUGGGCGAGCUCAGCUUCCCCUGCUGCGAAAUGGGCCGAAACGGCGCCGCCUGGCUUUGAGGGAGAAAUGGGAUUAAGCGCCUGGCUCAGUGCCAGCACUGGGUAGCCCCAAGGCUGUCUAUUACUGUAGCUCUCUGGCCACCUGUGCCCUGGGGUCUCCCGGGUCCUCCCACCCUCAGC
rnacentral:lncRNA from 1 species